UAUGCGUAUACUGCACUCGAGCGAUGGAUUAAGAGCUUGCUCUUAUGAAGUUAGCGGCGGACGGGUGAGUAACACGUGGGUAACCUGCCCAUAAGACUGGGAUAACUCCGGGAAACCGGGGCUAAUACCGGAUAACAUUUUGAACCGCAUGGUUCGAAAUUGAAAGGCGGCUUCGGCUGUCACUUAUGGAUGGACCCGCGUCGCAUUAGCUAGUUGGUGAGGUAACGGCUCACCAAGGCAACGAUGCGUAGCCGACCUGAGAGGGUGAUCGGCCACACUGGGACUGAGACACGGCCCAGACUCCUACGGGAGGCAGCAGUAGGGAAUCUUCCGCAAUGGACGAAAGUCUGACGGAGCAACGCCGCGUGAGUGAUGAAGGCUUUCGGGUCGUAAAACUCUGUUGUUAGGGGAAGAACAAGUGCUAGUUGAAUAAGCUGGCACCGUGACGGAACCUAACCAGAAAGCCACGGCUUAACUACGUGCCAGCAGCCCGCGGUAAUACGUAAGUGGCAGGCGUUAUCCGGAAUUAUUGGGGCGUAAAAGCGCGCGCAGGUGGUUUCCUUAAGUCUGAUGUGAAAGGCCCCGGGCUCAACCGUGGAAGGGGCCUUGGGAAACUGGGAAAACUUGGUUGCAAAAAAAGGAAAGGGG
rnacentral:rRNA from 1 species